rnacentral:rRNA from 1 species
GGAUUGAAGGCUGAAAUUCGCCUUAUGAAGCCGGAAUUGCUAGUAAUGGCAGGUCAGCAUACUGCCGUGAAUACGUUCCCGGGCCUUGUACACACCGCCCGUCACACCAUGAGAGUUGGAAAUACCCGAAGCCUGUGAGCUGACCGUAAGGGGGCAGCAGUCGAAGGUAGAGCCAAUGAUUGGGGUGAAGUCGUAACAAGGUACC